rnacentral:siRNA from 1 species
GACGAUUCUACUACGAACAAUUCU